CGUGUGCCUUGGUAGUCUCAGAGAGUUGAUUCUGGCUCAGGAUGAACGCUGGCGGCGUGCCUAACACAUGCAAGUCGAACGGAGUUAUCGGAGCUUGCUUUGAUAACUUAGUGGCGGACGGGUGAGUAAUGUAUGAGCAACCUGCCUUUCAGAGGGGGACAACAGUUGGAAACGACUGCUAAUACCGCAUAAUGUGCGAGGGGGGCAUCCCUUUUGUACCAAAGGAGCAAUCCGCUGAAAGAUGGGCUCAUAUCUGAUUAGUUAGUUGGCAGGGUAACGGCCUACCAAGACUGCGAUCAGUAGCCGGACUGAGAGGUUGAACGGCCACAUUGGGACUGAGAUACGGCCCAGACUCCUACGGGAGGCAGCAGUGGGGAAUAUUGGGCAAUGGGCGAAAGCCCUGACCCAGCAACGCCGCGUGAAGGAAGAAGGUCUUCGGAUUGUAAACUUCUUUAUGAGGGACGAAGGACGUGACGGUACCUCAUGAAUAAGCCACGGCUAACUACGUGCCAGCCGCCGC
rnacentral:rRNA from 1 species